GCGUGAGGGAUGAAGGCCUUCGGGUCGUAAACCUCUGUCGGGAGGGAAGAACGGCUCCGGGACGAACAGCCCCGGGGAUUGACGGUACCUCCAAAGGAAGCGCCGGCUAACUCCGUGCCAGCAGCCGCGGUAAUACGGAGGGCGCAAGCGUUGUUCGGAAUCAUUGGGCGUAAAGAGCGUGUAGGCGGUUUGGUAAGUCGGGUGUGAAAGCCCGGGGCCUAACCCCGGAGGGUCAUUCGAAACUGCCAAGCUAGAGUCCCGGAGAGGGUGGCGGAAUUCCCAGUGUAGAGGUGAAAUUCGU
rnacentral:rRNA from 1 species